AUCAAUAAUACUACUAGAUUCGCGAUUAGCGCUUCAAAAACGGCCCGAAAAAUAAGACCACAAAUAAAUUUGUGGUCUUAUUUCAAAUUAGUAUGGUCCAGUCAUAGCCAACACUAAGACGUCAAAACGCUGCAAUGCGCGUUCAAAAAUUGAGUAAAAAACCACCGUAACACCAAGGUUUUGGAAGGAAUAUCUUUUUUUGAUUUCCUAGUAGCCCCUUGUCGCUGUGCACAAUGGAUAUUUAAUGUCGCGAAAGAAAGAGGAGAAGAAAUAUAGAACCCUUAUAAAAAAUCUAGAAUUGUUCAAUGGUGGUGGCAAAUCAAUGCAAAAAAGUAUUAAAAAAACUUUAUAUGUAUGUGUAAAUAUUUUAAGCGUAUAUGCUGAAAAGGAUUUGUUUUCUGGGGGAAACGAACACAGCCAUAAAAUAAGCCUAAAUUAAACUGAUUAUAGAAAAAUUCAUUGAUAUAAGAUUACAUUAUAUUUGUAAAAAAGAAACCGCUCAUAUAAAAAUGACUUCUAAAAGACAGCUUUAUAACAAACUGAAUCUGUUUAAAGGUAAUUAAACCUACAUUAUUGGUUUAAUAACUUCUGUAUAAAGAAUACGUGGAAAACAUGUUUCGUGUUUCCUUUCAUAUUUUUUUUACUUUAUUCAAUUUUAUUUCUUAUCACCUAUUUGUUGUAAUAGCGGCAAUGUAAAAUAUUAUCUACUACUUUUUUAAAUCGGUCAAAAAUAGUUGCGACCAUACAAAACAAACCUAAAACAAAUAUGUAUAUUCUGCAACUCUAUGUCUUUCAAUACUUACUGUGUUCUGAGCAUUGAAAUGUAAUACCAAGAACUACAUCUAGUUCCACAAUACAAUAAGCACGAAAUUUUAAACAAAUAUUUUUAACCUUAUAAAUUAGGCUUUAAGUAUCAUUUUAGAAUAAAUAUUUUUGUACUGA